GGGAGAGGGAGACAGGUUGGUGGGGAGAGAAGAGUGGCAGGGAGAGGGAGACAGGUUGGUGGGGAGAGAAGAGUGGCAGGGAGAGGGAGACAGGUUGGUGGGGGAAAGAAGAGUGGCAGGAAGAGGAAGACAGGUUGGUGGGGAAAGGAAGGUGUCAGGGAGGGGGAGACAGGUUGGUGGGGGGAGAGAAGAGUGGCAGGGAGAGGGAGACAGGUUGGUGGGGAAAGAAGAGUGGCAGGGAGAGGAAGACAGGUUGGUGGGGAAAGAAGAGUGGCAGGGAGAGGAAGACAGGUUGGUGGGGAGAGAAGAGUGGCAGGGAGAGGGAGACAGGUUGGUGGGGAGAGAAGAGUGUCAGGGAGAGGGAGACAGGUUGGUGGGGAGAGAAGAGUGGCAGGGAGAGGGAGACAGGUUGGUGGGGGAAAGAAGAGUGGCAGGGAGAGGGAGACAGGUUGGUGGGGAGAGAAGAGUGUCAGGGAGAGGGAGACAGGUUGGUGGGGAGAGAAGAGUGGCAGGGAGAGGGAGACAGGUUGGUGGGGGAAAGAAGAGUGGCAGGGAGAGGGAGACAGGUUGGUGGGGAGAGAAGAGUGCCAGGGAGAGGGAGACAGGUUGGUGGGGAGAGAAGAGUGCCAGGGAGAGGGAGACAGGUUGGUGGGGAGAGAAGAGUGCCAGGGAGAGGGAGACAGGUUGGUAGGGAAAGAAGAGUGCCAGGCAGAGGGAGACAGGUUGGUGGGGAAAGAAGAGUGCCAGGGAGAGGGAGACAGGUUGGUGGGGAGAGAAGAGUGGCAGGGAGAGGAAGACAG
ensembl:lncRNA